ensembl:lncRNA
CAGCAGCACGUUGGCCAACCAGUCCCCACCACAGGACCCCCCCACCCCCCCGGAGCUUUCCCCUCUCCCGACGCUCUCCGGGCUCCCAUCGCGGUGCGGCGGGGCCGGAGCCCCGCACCGGGGCUGCUGCUUUCCGCGAGUGCCCUCUCCUGGAAGCUCCUCCUGGGCUCCUCCGGGUACCGAGCUGCUCUGUUUCAGCUCGUAGCCCGCGCCCGCAAUCCUCCCGUAGAGGCUGUGCCGCAACCUGAAGUGUAUUCGGGAGCAUCGUGCGCCCUCGCGGCACGCUGCGCUUCUCCCAGGUGCUAUUUCGGCUCCGCUGCAGCCGUUCAUCUUUCCGGCGUGCUGUGAGCUGGGUGAGAGCUCGACCCUGCUGGCACACAGCCUGCGUUUGCAUGCGGAAGGUGGAUCCAUGCAUUUCCCAAAGUUUGGAUCUAAAGACUGAAAGCUGUCCUGGCAGAGCUGGCUUUGAGUACUGCUGAGGAACGACACUCAGCCCAGCUUGGAGACAGAGAGCAGCACCCAGUGCUGAAUCCAUGCAGAGUUAUCUGUCUUUCUAAACUUCAGGGCUCUUGCCAAAUUCGCAGGCAGCCCUGUGAAAGCGCCGUGUCCCACAAGAGCCAUGUAUUUUAAUAUGAAGUAGUUUUCUUUGCCCUGGAUCCAGGAGUGGUUCUCCAUGCUGACAACCCAUAAAAGACCUAAUGACCCAUCUGAGGGACAUUAACGGCGCGCUGGCCAUUGGAGACGGGAGAGGAGAGAAUCUGCAUGAGGCCUACUCCUGGCUACCUGUGCACAGCCCAGAGGGAUUCAUCUCCCCCAGCUCAUCUCUGCCUGCCAUUCACACACCUCUCCCCAUCACCCUCAGCCCACCCAAGGGUGUCCCCAUCAAGAUAUCCUUCCACCAGUGGCCAACAGAAGACAAGUCAUAGAAUCACAGAAUCAUUACGGUUGGAAACAACCUGUAAGAUGACCAAGUCCAAUCAUUGACCCGUCGCCACCAUACUGAUCAGGCCUUGGAAGUGCCAGGAUCCCCACUGAGGCGCACUCAGCAUCCCAUAUCUCACACUGAUCCCCCACUAUCUUCCCUCACUGCUUCCAAAACAGUAUAGGAGAAGCUGAAGAUGUUUUGCUGCUGAAAUGAGCGUGAAGAAAAAUAUCUGAAAGGAGGAGAAGAGAAGGAGAAUGAUUCACUUCUUCCCACCUCCCCCACCCCCCCCCAAAAAAAAACUGUCUCAUGUACAGCAAAGUAUGUUCUUGUUAACAUAAUGCUCCCAUCCAGCACAGGGACUUCG